UGAAAGUGAGAAUAAUUUUUACGAUUUUCAAUAUUCAACCUCUUCUACUACUGUGUAGCGUUAGAAUUGUCAACAAAGCGUCCGAAGUGGGGAUGGGCGGUCCUAGCGAAGAACCCCUCUUGCCCCGCUACCCCUGCCCCGCGAGACUUCUUUUCAGCAGCGAACAGUAUUUUAGAAAAUAACAUUUCAAAGUGUUUUCUUUAAUACGAUUCGGAUCGAGAAUCGGGGGGAAGAUUUUUACCUUGUCGCGUCUCGUUCUCGCAAAUAAAGGAAGGAGCUCUCAUCCUAGGUUCUAUUUUCUAUUUCACGCGUGAAAUCAUACCAGAAUACCAGUGUCCGUCGAACAAUCGAACACGUUACUGACCACGGCAUAUACCAGACAUGCUACUGUCUACAUAGAAGGCCGCUAUUUCCUGCUAUUAACCAGCAAACUCGAUCAGAAAGUCAAGCGAUGAUGUACGUCGCUCAUAUAAUAAGCCGAUACCAAGAGAGACUACUAACGAGCCAUCGUAGACGUAAAUCGUAAGGGGACGAAACCAGUUGCCAGGAGAGUUGCAUUUGCAUGCUGCGUAACGUGGUCGCGUAGAAGUAAAAUGGUAAUCACCUUUGGUUAUUCUUAAUAGAGUAGGCCUAACGCGAACGCACACAUGCUCCUCAUCGAAGAUUGUGUCAGUCAUUGACAAGUAUUACGUCGUUUUUGCGCGUAUUAAUAAGCGUGUACAAUUUGCGUAAUAGAUUCUAUUGAAAAAGAAACGCUUAUUUGUUGACGGAGUAAUAUCAUAAUUCUUUCAAAGAAACAUUAAGAUAAGAUAAGAUUUAUACGAUAGAAAUUUUGUCCGUUGUGAUAUUUAUGUGAUAAAUUAUUUAAAAA